rfam:Triticum aestivum genome assembly, contig: Triticum_aestivum_CS42_TGACv1_scaffold_000153_1AL
CAUAUACUCCCUCCGUUCCGAAUUACUUGUCUUGGAUUUGUCUAGAUACGGAUGUAUUUAGACUUAUUUUAGUGCUAGAUACCUCCGUACCUAGACAAACCUAAGACAAGUAAUUCGGAACGGAGGGAGUAUGUG